GCCCCCUUUACAUUUAGUAGGUCUGGUAGCCAAGCGACAGGACACCAGGUACAUCAUGGGCAGAAGCUGUGGGUGGGGGGUCGUGUCCGACUGUCACUUGUUCAGCUCAGGCUUCAUUGGGAUGGACUUGUGUCGUUUGUCAGAUAUUGUGUAACUUGCACAGGGUUGUGUGUCCCGUUGUGUUCUCUUCAUACAAAGCAUCAGACGUCGGUCCUCCUCCUGGUCUGAUAAUAAGCAGCUGCUUGUGCUACAUUGUUUCAGGAGUCACAUCCUGACAGUGGCAGUGACAGGGAACUUUCAACCCAGUGACCGUGUUUAAUUCAUUGAUUAUAGGAAGAUAGAUGAUAUAUUCUUUCACUGUGCAAAAAAAAAAAGUUUGGGUGAAGUUGCCCUUUAAGCUGCAGGCGCCAGGUGGAUGAAGUAACGGCUGGAGGGCUGCAUUUAAUUGAUUAAAAUGUAUUAUUGCUGCUAUUUUAUCAGCCUGGGUGGGGGAUCCUUGUUCUUUCGCUUCCCAAACUUCAUCCUCUGCUCCCUAUUGACAGUUGGGCAUGUUUUAUAAUCAGCUGUGAAUUCUGGGAGUUGUAGUACAGAUGUGGAUAUUGCUGGGGGGGGGAAGGACAAUUUAUUGUAUCUCCUGGUUGCCAGUGUGUGUGUGUGUGUAUAUAUAUAUAUAUAUAUAUAGAUAUAGAUAUAGAGAGAGAGAGUGGCCCCGCGGGGCCCCAGCAGGCACAAUUUGUAUUCUAUCCAAUGUCUUUCCUAUUUAUAUAGAGGCGACUGUUCUCCAAGGCUGUGGAUUUAUUCCCCGGCUCCUGCCCAUUCCCUAAUUGCCCAUGUUUUUGGCUGCUGCCUACACCGGGGAAUGUGUUUCAUCCCAGAUCUAUCAUUGUAGCCUGCAGCGACCACUCACAACCAGUAUUUCAGGUUACAGGCGCAUGUGUCUUUAAAUCAGUAGGAGAUGAAGGAUUUACGUCCCCCCCAAUGAUACAGUGUGUUCCCCUCUCUCCCGCCCCUUGGCACCCAACACUGCCAUUAAAGUGCACCGUGUACCAAAUCACCCCCCUUGGCCCUUAAACUAACGUUUAGUUCUGGUUGCUAGGAGCAGUGUGCAUAGCAACAGGAUGGCCCACUGCUAAGCAAAAAAAAUUAAAAACCCGACAAAUUGGCGCAUGUACCCCCCAAGAGUCUGGGGAUCAAUUAUAUUGGGCUGAGCAGACCCCCAGGAGCAAAUAACAGUAAAGUGACUGCUUCAUGGUUGCCGAGUCCCUUUCCCUAGCAACCUGAUGUUAGAUUGCAGGCUGGAGACUAAUGUAAUAGAAAGGCAAAUAAAUCAAAAUGGGAAGUCGUUGUGAAGUUUACUUCCCCUUUAUAUAUUAUAUUGGUGACUGCAGACUUGUGCUUAGCAGCUCCACGGUGCGGCCCCAUAGAUAUAAUUGUGAUAUAAGGAUCUUCUCUGAAUAAAACUGGCUUCUCGUUUGGCUAUUAAACUACUUUGUAUUGCACUCGGCUUUAUCCCAGAAGCCUCUGGGGCUGAGCAUUAUUCUGCAGGCCACUUCAUGUUUGUUUAUUAUGCUGUGUACAGCCCCGGGGGCCACUAAACAAAAUCUCCUGUCUGCUUGUUGGUUUAACUGGGAGUGGUUUUCGUUGCCUGUAGUGUAAAUCAGCUGCCUUCCGCUACAUUGUUUCAGGAGUCACAACCAGCAGUGCAGACAAUAUAUACAACCAGGUUUAUAAUCCUCACUGCUUAAGACGUUUCAUGCUGAAUUUAGACUUUGAGUGCUAUGAAGUACGGAAUGUUUAGCAACUGAGUGUGACUCUCUCCAGUGUAGGGGGAGCAGAGACUUUGUACGUUAUUUAUGUAUUGGACCUUGUAUUAUAUUCACUAGAGGUACUAAUACUUUGUAUACUAUUCACUAGAGGUACUAAUACUUUGUACACUAUUCACUAGAGGUACUAAUACUUUGUAUACUAUUCACUAGAGGUACUAAUACUUUGUACACUAUUCACUAGAGGUACUAAUACUUUGUACACUAUUCACUAGAGGUACUAAUACUUUGUACACUAUUCACUAGAGGUACUAAUACUUUGUAUACUAUUCACUAGAGGUACUAAUACGUUGUAUACUAUUCACUAGAGGUACUAAUACUUUGUACACUAUUCACUAGAGGUACUAAUACUUUGUACACUAUUCACUAGAGGUACUAAUACUUUGUACACUAUUCACUAGAGGUACUAAUACUUUGUACACUAUUCACUAGAGGUACUAAUACUUUGUACACUAUUCACUAGAGGUACUAAUACUUUGUAUACUAUUCACUAGAGGUACUAAUACUUUGUAUACUAUUCACUAGAGGUACUAAUACUUUGUAUACUAUUCACUAGAGGUACUAAUACGUUGUAUACUAUUCACUAGAGGUACUAAUACUUUGUAUACUAUUCACUAGAGGUACUAAUACUUUGUAUACUAUUCACUAGAGGUACAGGGAUCAUACGUUGUAUACUAUUCACUGGUGGUACUAAUACGUUGCAUACUAUUCACUAGAGGUACUAAUACUUUGUAUACUAUUCACUAGAGGUACUAAUACUUUGUAUACUAUUCACUAGAGGUACUAAUACUUUGUAUACUAUUCACUAGAGGUACUAAUACUUUGUAUACUAUUCACUAGAGGUACUAAUACUUUGUAUACUAUUCACUAGAGGUACUAAUACUUUGUAUACUAUUCACUAGAGGUACUAAUACUUUGUAUACUAUUCACUAGAGGUACUAAUACUUUGUAUACUAUUCACUAGAGGUACAGGGAUCAUACGUUGUAUACUAUUCACUGGUGGUACUAAUACGUUGCAUACUAUUCACUAGAGGUACUAAUACUUUGUAUACUAUUCACUAGAGGUACUAAUACUUUGUAUACUAUUCACUAGAGGUACUAAUACUUUGUAUACUAUUCACUAGAGGUACUAAUACUUUGUAUACUAUUCACUAGAGGUACUAAUACUUUGUAUACUAUUCACUAGAGGUACUAAUACUUUGUAUACUAUUCACUAGAGGUACUAAUACUUUGUAUACUAUUCACUAGAGGUACUAAUACUUUGUAUACUAUUCACUAGAGGUACUAAUACUUUGUAUACUAUUCACUAGAGGUACUAAUACUUUGUAUACUAUUCACUAGAGGUACUAAUACUUUGUAUACUAUUCACUAGAGGUACUAAUACUUUGUAUACUAUUCACUAGAGGUACUAAUACUUUGUAUACUAUUCACUAGAGGUACUAAUACUUUGUAUACUAUUCACUAGAGGUACUAAUACUUUGUAUACUAUUCACUAGAGGUACUAAUACUUUGUAUACUAUUCACUAGAGGUACUAAUACGUUGUAUACUAUUCACUAGAGGUACUAAUACUUUGUAUACUAUUCACUAGAGGUACUAAUACGUUGUAUACUAUUCACUAGAGGUACUAAUACGUUGUAUACUAUUCACUAGAGGUACUAAUACGUUGUAUACUAUUCACUAGAGGUACUAAUACUUCGUAUACUAUUCACUAGAGGUACUAAUACGUUGCAUACUAUUCACUAGAGGUACUAAUACUUCGUAUACUAUUCACUAGAGGUACUAAUACGUUGUAUACUAUUCACUAGAGGUACUAAUACUUUGUAUACUAUUCACUAGAGGUACUAAUACGUUGUAUACUAUUCACUAGAAGUACAGAGAUGUACUUUUUAUACUAUUGAGCCCAGACAGGCUGCAGCUCAGAAUCAGGGAGGAUCAGGAAUUUGGCUCUGGGGGUCUCCGCUCCAGCACUUUGCAUCUCGGGAGCCUUUGAAAGAUACAGGAACCACCGGUUCUGCCAAUAGAGUCAAUGUAGGAAAUGUAGAACUGGGAAAGCAGGUGGCAUUGUGGGGACCAGGGAGUUGAGAGUUGUAGUUGGAGGUACCCGCUAUAUAAUGGAACAGUCCAGUGCCUGUGGAUUCUGACUCAGUAGAAGUUAUUUACACACCUCAGACUGUAACUGCUGAUCGAUAGGAGUAAAUAUUAGCUUUAGGGGGAACUGCCAAUGCCAAGGUCAGUCUGUGCAUCUCUGUUGGUAAAUACAAAGUGCAGAAUUAGAAAACCUUUCAGCUCUGGGUGUUUGCAUGGGAUUUGCCUCGGGGAGGGGGGUAUUAAGCGGGCUGCUUCAUAAAAUAGGGGUGUCGUUUUUCUGCACCCAUAAAAAGUUAUGUGGGGCAGGUACAACGGGUGCAACUGAAGCCCAGGGAAGAUCCCCCAGUUGCUAUUGGUUCAGCCUCCAGCAGAGCAUUGAGCAAAAGACUCUGUGACUGAUUUACUAACAAGGCUGCUGAAAUGCUUCUGUGCAGUUGCCCUUUACAUCCAAUCAGAUCUUUUCUUUCAUCUUCUAACUCAUAGUAGACUGACCAAAACUAAUUGUUGAUUGGCCACUAUGCGCUAGUGCAGUUAAUUAAACUGUGAUAUUAAACCAGCCUUUUUGUAAUGGGUGGUCUUUGAGUAGAGUUCCCCUGGCCUGUAGGAGACUGCAUUUCAUGCAUUACUCAUAGCUGCUUUGGGGGGUACUAUGGGGGCCACACAUGCACCAAAUCAUUGGCUUUGCUUUGCAUUGAAACCAAGGGGAUUUUUUUUUUUUGCAUCCCUUUAAUCUUCAAGGUCUCUUUGAUGUCUGUACAAUGUCACAGGACUGAAAUGCAGAUGUAGUGUCAAAGUUAAAAAAAAAAGUCAAAUUGCUCUCAGCCAGGAAACCACAUGCCUGCAAGCCUGACCUCUGACACAGCCGGGAUAAUGCAUAGGGUUGUCUCCUGACCACAUGAUCCCAAUGUUAUUAAUGAGGAGAAAAGAUUACAGAGGCAGGUGGCAACCAUAACUAUAGAGGGCUGUAAUUAAAGGGGAACUAAACAUUUUUUUUAACUCAUUCAUGUGAAACUUGUUUUCUGUGUUCUCAUAAGGUUUAAAGGAUAAUGAAAGAAAAUGUUUUCUAAGCAAGUUUUAUAUACACACACACACACCAGAGGUUGUAAAGUUGUAUGUGCAUUGUUUUUGUUUACAAAAGGUGUUUGGCUUAACUCUCUCCACGUUUCAACAAUUCUAUUUUUUUUUUUCUAGGAAUUUGCAGAAAAAUUCUCAUGUAUUUCUCAUUCUUGGGUAUUAAUGAUUAGCUGCUUGAACAUUUUCAAGCAUGAAAACACCCAAAUUUAUCUUAGGGUUAGAAUGACAAACCAUGACAUGUCCAUUGGUUUGAAUGAAUGCCGGCACAUUUUUCAUCAAACACGACAUUUCUCGACUUUUCAUAGAUCAUCCCCUAAAUAAUAAUAAUAAUAUUCCAGCUUAGAAGGUGUGAUUUAUCUGGUUUCUACAGAAACUUACCCUAGUAACUGUUUUAAUUUCCAGAAUAUUGGCUAUAUUGUGAGAAUGUAUUGCUGGCAGGUGAGUUUGGGGUUAAAGGUUUAAUUUUACUGAUUAUUAUCAUUCAGGUUUCACAAUAGAAGCAGAACAGAUCAGGCAGGGUGUUCCCCAUAGGAGAGCCAUUGUGUGCUCUUAUAUAUAAUAUAAAUAUGCAGCAGUCAUCUAUAGCUGUGUGGGCCAAACCCUUCUAUUAUUAUAUAACUAGGAAAUGUAGCACCAAAUCACCUUCACUAAUUAGCAUAAAUAAUCCUAAAAUAUGAACUGUGUAUCCGCACCCUCGGCACAUGGCAAGACACGCCCAUAUCCCCUGCACCCAGUAUCCCACUGCCGCAGGUUGAACUAUAUCCUGCUACUCCCAUGAUCCCAUGUAUGUCUGUAACUAGGGAUAGCGUUUCUAUGGCACAUUUCAUAAGGGCCUUAAAUAAACUUUAUAUUGAUAUAAUUUCCCCUCUUUAACAGCACCGCCACUUAUAGAGAUGAAUUCAGAGCUCAUUCCAUAACAAUAUUCCAAAUUCCCAAUAAAAUGUCGGCUCAAGGUACAUUCUCAGCCAGUGGAGAAGCCUCUGUAUCUGUCUCUGUAUGGAAAAUAAACCUCAACUUCCUAAUAAAUACCCAACAUCUGUAA